CUACGGGAGGCAGCAGUGGGGAAUAUUGGACAAUGGGGGCAACCCUGAUCCAGCCAUGCCGCGUGUGUGAAGGAGGCCUUAGGGUUGUAAAGCACUUUCAGUGGGGAGGAAAGGUUGCGUGUUAAUAUCACGUAGCUGUGACGUUACCCACAGAAGAAGCACCGGCUAACUUCGUGCCAGCAGCCGCGGUAAUACGAGGGGUGCAAGCGUUAAUCGGAUUUACUGGGCGUAAAGCGCGCGUAGGCGGCUUGUUAAGUCGGAUGUGAAAGCCCUGGGCUCAACCUAGGAACUGCAUCCGAUACUGGCGAGCUAGAGUAUGAUAGAGGGUGGUGGAAUUCCUAGUGUAGCGGUGAAAUGCGUAGAUAUUAGGAGGAACAUCGGUGGCGAAGGCGGCCACCUGGGUCAAUACUGACGCUGAAGUGCGAAAGCGUGGGGAGCAAACAGGAUUAGAAACCCUAGUAGUCCU
rnacentral:rRNA from 1 species